rnacentral:tRNA from 1 species
AAUAUUGUGUCUGAUUAAAGAGUUAAAUUGUAAAUUUAAAUAUGGAUUAGUUAAAUCUCAAUAUUA